rnacentral:rRNA from 1 species
AGGAAGUAAAAGUCGUAACAAGGUCUCCGUUGGUGAACCAGCGGGAGGGAUCAUUGCUGGAACGCGCUUCGGCGCACCCAGAAACCCUUUGGUGAACUUAUACCUAUUGUUGCCUCGGCGCAGGCCGGCCUCUUCACUGAGGCCCCCCUGGAAACAGGGAGCAGCCCGCCGGCGGCCAACCAAACUCUUGUUUCUAUAGUGAAUCUCUGAGUAAAAAACAUAAAUGAAUCAAAACUUUCAACAACGGAUCUCUUGGUUCUGGCAUCGAUGAAGAACGCAGCGAAAUGCGAUAAGUAAUGUGAAUUGCAGAAUUCAGUGAAUCAUCGAAUCUUUGAACGCACAUUGCGCCCUCUGGUAUUCCGGAGGGCAUGCCUGUUCGAGCGUCAUUUCAACCCUCAAGCCUGGCUUGGUGAUGGGGCACUGCCUGUAAAAGGGCAGGCCCUGAAAAUCUAGUGGCGAGCUCGCCAGGACCCCGAGCGUAGUAGUUAUAUCUCGCUCUGGAAGGCCCUGGCGGUGCCCUGCCCGUUAACCCCCAAUUCUGAAAAUUGACCUCGGAUCAGGUAGGAAUACCGCUGAACUUAAGCAUAUCAAUAGCGGG